rnacentral:rRNA from 1 species
AUUGAACGCUGGCGGCAGGCUUAACACAUGCAAGUCGAACGAGCGGAGGACGGGUGAGUGAGGUCUGGGAAACUGGCUGAUGGAGGGGGAAAACUGGUGGAAACGGUAGAUAAUACCGCAAACGGUGCGAUGGGCCGAGGUGGGAUUAGCUAGUGGGUGGGGGAAUGGCUCACCUAGGCGACGAUCCCUAGCUGGUCUGAGAGGAUGACCAGCCACACUGGAACUGAGACACGGUCCAGACUCCUACGGGAGGCAGCAGUGGGGAAUAUUGGACAAUGGGCGAAAGCCUGAUGCAGCCACGCCGCGUGUGUGAAGAAGGCCUUCGGGUUGUAAAGCUCUGUCAGCGGGGAGGCGUUACUCGCACAAGAAGCACCGGCUAACUCCGUGCCAGCAGCCGCGGUAAUAC